GACAGAGGGGGCAAGCGUUGUCCGGAUUGACUGGGCGUACAGCGCGCGCAGGCGGCACAGUAUGUGCCCGGUGACAGCCCACGGCUCAACCGUGGGUCGCCCGAGUACACAGCCGUGCUGGAGGCAGGGAGAGGGUCGUGGAAUGCCCGGUGGAGCGGUGAAAUGCGUAGAGAUCGGGCGGAACACCAGUGGCGAAGGCGACUUCCUGGCCUGUUCUUGACGCUGAGGCGCGAAAGCUAGGGGAGCAAACGGG
rnacentral:rRNA from 1 species